GCGAUAGAUCAAGAUAUCUGGAAUGGUUUUUGAUCAAAAUCUAUAUGGCCUUUGGAUUGGACUGCGUCCGAUCAGGCUGUUGGUGAGGUAAUGGCCCACCAAACCUGUAACCGGUACGGGCUCUGAGAGGAGGAGCCCGGAGAUGGGUACUGAGAAAAGGACCCAGGCCCUAUGGGGCGCAGCAGGCGCGAAACCUCUGCAAUAGGCGAAAGCCUGACAGGGUUACUCUGAGUGACUUUCGCUAAGAAAGUCUUUUGACACCUCUAAAAAUGGUGUAGAAUAAGGGGUGGGCAAGUCUGGUGUCAGCCGCCGCGGUAAUACCAGCACCCCGAGUGGUCGGGACGAUUAUUGGGCCUAAAGCAUCCGUAGCCGGUUUUACAAGUCCUCCGUUAAAUCCAGCUGCUUAACAGAUGGGCUGCGGAGGAUACUAUAAGACUAGGAGGCAGGAGAGGCAAGCGGUACUCAGUGGGUAGGGGUAAAAUCCGUUGAUCCAUUGAAGACCACCAGUGGCGAAGGCGGCUUGCCAGAAUGCGCUCGACGGUGAGGGAUGAAAGCUGGGGGAGCAAACCGGAUUAGAUACCCGGGUAGUCCCAGCUGUAAACGAUGCAGACUCGGUGAUGGACUAGCUUUAUGCUAGUCCAGUGCCGCAGGGAAGCCGUUAAGUCUGCCGCCUGGGUAGUACGGUCGCAAGACUGAAACUU
rnacentral:rRNA from 1 species